CAGAACGCAAUUCCAGUCGUGUAAGCAAACAUGCCGCCAAAGCGUGUAAAAAAAGCGGCGCCCCGGCCAUUACCGGCAAAUGACGAGGAGUCGAAGGCUUUGGAUCCUACUAAUCCGGUGCUCUAUAUCGAGCACUGUCGCUCCUGACGCGUCUUUCGUCGGCGCGCUGAAGAGCUGCAUGCUGCUCUGCAAACUCGAAUUCAGAAUGCAGGCCAGCAAUUCCAGCUCCAACUGCAGCUCAACGCCCAUGGUGCCCCUCGGCGUGGCGCAUUUGAGUUGUCCUUUGCCCCCAACCCCACAGCAGUUGCCAGCGAGCAGCGUCCGCUUUGGUCCGGUCUAAAACGCACGCCGCGUGCACAGAAGUUUCCCGACGUCGAUGAUAUAUACCAGCAAAUAGUGGAGAUCCUUAACGAGCUUUCUGGCAAGGGCAACAAGCGUAAGCGUACUUCACAGUCGCCAUCGACAUCGACAUCGGCGUCGCCGUCGCCAUCAGCAACAUCCCCAGCCUCAUCUUCGAAGCGGAGCGAGCCUGCAGCUGACACUGAGCACCAGGCGCCAACGUCGUCUAAGCGCAGCAAAUCAUCAAAGGCAAAGGCAUCUUAAUGAAAUGAUACAGCACCAUUUAGUUGCCGUCAUCAAUUUGCUCAGCAAUAGCGCCAUAUGAUCAUUAAACGGUAAAUCCCUUACGGGAACUGUUCAGUGUGAAACUUCUGCCUCAAAGCUGGUUAAUUGUUGACGACAAUAAUUGGAUUUCAUUACAUUGAGAUAAAUACAAAAUAUUAUCAUUAAUUGUUGAUGACUGUUCUCGAAUCAAAUGAAUAAAUGCAUUGUUAUUGAAACAAAA
rnacentral:sRNA from 1 species